AGAACGAACGCUGGCGGCGUGGAUAAGACAUGCAAGUCGAACGCGACUUAUCAGAUUAGCAAUAAUUUGGUAAGUUGAGUGGCGAAAGGGUGCGUAACACGUGGGAAUUUACCAAGAAGUGGGGAAUAGCUCGACGAAAGUCGAAUUAAUACCGCAUAUGAUCGCAAGAUCAAAGCCGGGGACCGCAAGGCCUGGCGCUUUUUGAGAAGCCCACGGCCCAUCAGCUAGUUGGCGGGGUAACGGCCCACCAAGGCUAUGACGGGUAGCUGGUCUGAGAGGACGACCAGCCACACUGGAACUGAGACACGGUCCAGACACCUACGGGUGGCAGCAGUCGAGAAUUUUUCACAAUGGACGAAAGU
rnacentral:rRNA from 1 species